rnacentral:rRNA from 1 species
AUACGGAGGGUGCGAGCGUUAAUCGGAAUUACUGGGCGUAAAGCGUACGUAGGCGGUUGGUUAAGUUAGAUGUGAAAGCCCCGGGCUUAACCUGGGAACUGCAUCUAAAACUGGCGAACUAGAGUUGAGUAGAGGGGAGUGGAAUUUCAGGUGUAGCGGUGAAAUGCGUAGAGAUCUGAAGGAACACCAGUGGCGAAGGCGACUCCCUGGACUCGAACUGACGCUGAGGUACGAAAGCGUGGGUAGCAAACGGGAUUAGAAACCCCAGUAGUCC